CCUCCCGGAUCCGCCUUCUCCCCGCUUCCGCCCUGCGCGCUAACCCAAGACGGGAGCUCGAGAGCUUGAUCCUGCGCGAGUUUACAGACUGCCCUCUUCCCUUUUUGCAUGGAGUCUUGCUCUGUUGCCCAGGCUGGAGUGCAGGGACGUGGUAUCAGCUCACUGCAACCCCACCUCCCAGAUUCAAGCGAGUCUUCCUGCCUCAGCCUCCCAAGUAACUGGGAUUACAGGCGCCUGCCACCACGCCCAGCUAAUUUUUUGUAUUUUUAGUAGAGACAGGGUUUCACCAUGUUGGCCAGGCUGGUCUCGAACUCCUGACCUCAGGUGAUCCACCUACCGUGGCCUCCCAAAGUGCUGGGAUUACAGGUGUGAACCACCGCACCCGGCCUUAUUUUUUUAUUUUUGAGACAGCAUCUCGCUCUGUUCAAGUUGGCCUUGAACUCCUGGCCUCAAGUGAUCCUCCCACCUUGGCCUCCCAAAGUGUUGGAAUUACAGGUGUGAACCAUUGCAAUGGCCUUAUUACUACUUUAUAUUUGUGGAGUGCUUUAAAGUUGACAAAGUUUUUAGUUAAUCCUCACACUAUUACCUUGUGGCGUUGAAGAACAGAUUUCAGGAGCGUGAAAGUGAAGACACCAAAAAGGAAGUUCUUGCAAUAUUUCAACAAAGAGAUGAAGAUUUGGAUUAGAUUCCAGUUCUACCUUUUUGGCACCAGGGAGCUGUUCUGUGAAAGACAAUUUUCCACAGGGCUCGGGGGGUGGGCAUGAGGCAGAGGAUGGUUUCGGAAUGAAACUGUUGCACCUCAAGAUCAUCAAUUAGAUUUCCAUAAGGAGUGUGCAAUCUAGAUUCCUCACAGGUGCAGUUCAAAAUAGGUUUUGAGUUCCUGUGAGAAUCUAAUGCUCUCCUUGAUCUGACAGGAGGCAGAGCUCAGGCAGUAAUGCUUGCUUGCUAGCUGCUCACCUGCUGUGCAGCCCAGUUCCUAAUAGGCGACAGGUCUGUGUUGGGGCGUUGGGGUCCUCUGAAUUAGAGGAAUGACAGAGAGAACAGACUCAGGCAGCUUUCUGGAUGUAGAAACAACCUAACUUAGUGAUUAUAGAUACUACCUGUGAUAAUAGUGAACUUUCUUCCAUAUCAAAGUUACACACCUUUGCCUCCGGUUCUUCCCACACCCUUAGAGCAUCUGCAAACCUACAGCCCUCCUCCUAGCUGACUGUAGUCACAUGACUUUUACCUUUCUGGCCACCAGUUGUACCAGCAGUGUUCAUCUGGCCCCAAAUUGGCCAAUCAUUUUCCUGCUCCUGGAAAAUUAGACUUGGCUUUAUAUUCAAGUCUGACCUCAGGAAUUUAUGGGGCAAAGUACACAGAUAGAUGUGUGUGAAUGUCCAAUCAGAGAAAGCACAUCUGCAGAAAGAUUAAGAAAUUGAUGUCGGGUGUGGUGGCUCAAGCCUGUAAUCCCAGCACUUUCGGAGGCUGAGGCAGGCGCAUCACCUGAGGUCAGGAGUUCGAGACCAGCCUGACCAACAUGGUGAAACCCCAUCUCUACUAAAAAUACAAACAUUAGCCUCCAGCUACGCAGGAGGCCAAGGCAGGAGAAUCGCAUGAAACUGGGAGGCAGAGGUUGCAGUGAGCCGAGAUCGUGCCACUGCACUCCAGCCUGGAU
rnacentral:lncRNA from 1 species